rnacentral:rRNA from 1 species
UACGUUUUAAACUUGUACUUUAAUUGAUGUUUAUUACAAAUUUUUUUAUAGAACUUUAAAAAUUAUAAGGUAGAAUUAGAAUUUUUUGCAUAGUUGUUGUUUGUAAUUUUAAAUUUUGAUUGAACGAACUAGAGUAGAACCUAGUUAGACAAAAAUUAAAAGAGCAGAAGUAAAGUUGUAUUUAAACUGAAAGGAUAUUGGCAGGUUUUCUAAAUUAUCUUUGGAGGCUGAGUAGUAAUUGAGAGCCCUCAUUAGCUGCUUUAUUUAUUUUCGCAUGUAUGAUCGUUUAUUUAAAUCUUAAAGGUAGUAAUUAAAGAUUAAAUUUUCUAUAAAAACAGAUAAAUACCUGGUAUAUGAUUAAAGUAAGAUUUGGCCUACAUUAUUUUAUAAUGUGGAUAAUAUUAUUGGCAUAAUAUUUGAAAAUGUAAAAGACAGUAAAAAAUUUUUAAUGUAUUUUUGAAGAUUAUCUAGGGAC